UGUGUAGGCGGGUAUUUAAGUCAGUGGUGAAAUCUCCGAGCUCAACUUGGAAACUGCCAUUGAUACUAUUUAUCUUGAAUCUUGUUGAGGUUGGCGGAAUAUGUCAUGUAGCGGUGAAAUGCAUAGAUAUGACAUAGAACACCGAUUGCGAAGGCAGCUAACUAAGCAAGUAUUGACGCUGAGGCACGAAAGCGUGGGGAUCAAACAGGAUUAGAUACCCUGGUAGUCCACGCCCUAAACGAUGAUAACUCGACAUACGCGAUACACAGUGUGUGUCUGAGCGAAAGCAUUAAGUUAUCCACCUGGGAAGUACGACCGCAAGGUUGAA
rnacentral:rRNA from 1 species